CAGCCGCAUGGAAAGCAUAAUGGAGGAUAACUCAAACACUGAGUCCAAGUCAACUGAGCAACUUUCCGACGUCUGGUAAGUU